CAAUAGCGUAUAUUUAAGUUGUUGCAGUUAAAAAGCUCGUAGUUGGAUUUCGGAUGGGACUUGCCGGUCCGUCGUUUCGAUGUGCACUGGCCAGUCCUAUCUUGUUGUCGGGGACUAGCUCCUGGGCUUCACUGUCCGGGACUAGGAGCUGACGAGGUUACUUUGAGUAAAUUAGAGUGUUCAAAGCAAGCCUACGCUCUGAAUACAUUAGCAUGGAAUAACACGAUAGGACUCUGGCUUAUCUUGUUGGUCUGUGAGACCAGAGCAAUGAUUAAGAGGGACAGUCGGGGGCAUUCGUAUUUCAUUGUCAGAGGUGAAAUUCUUGGAUUUAUGAAAGACGAACUUCUGCGAAAGCAUUUGUCAAGGAUGUUUUCAUUAA
rnacentral:rRNA from 1 species